UCACUAGUCACACUAUGGGAGUUAGCCAUGCCCGAAGUCAUUACCUUAACCACAAGGGGGGAUGCUAAAGGCAGGGAUAAUGACUAGAUUGAGGUCAUAACAAUGUAGCCAUACUGAAAGGUAAGAGCUG
rnacentral:ncRNA from 1 species